rnacentral:rRNA from 1 species
UGGGGAAUAUUGCACAAUGGGCGCAAGCCUGAUGCAGCCAUGCCGCGUGUAUGAAGAAGGCCUUCGGGUUGUAAAGUACUUUCAGCGGGGAGGAAGGUGUUGAGGUUAAUAACCUCAGCAAUUGACGUUACCCGCAGAAGAAGCACCGGCUAACUCCGUGCCAGCAGCCGCGGUAAUACGGAGGGUGCAAGCGUUAAUCGGAAUUACUGGGCGUAAAGCGCACGCAGGCGGUCUGUCAAGUCGGAUGUGAAAUCCCCGGGCUCAACCUGGGAACUGUAUUCGAAACUGGCAGGCUAGAGUCUUGUAGAGGGGGGUAGAAUUCCAGGUGUAGCGGUGAAAUGCGUAGAGAUCUGGAGGAAUACCGGUGGCGAAGGCGGCCCCCUGGACAAAGACUGACGCUCAGGUGCGAAAGCGUGGGGAGCAAACA